rnacentral:Y_RNA from 1 species
GGUUGGUCCAAGUGCAGUGGUGUUCACAACUAAUUGAUCACAACCAGUUAUGUAUUCCUUUGUUCCUUCUCCACUCCCACUGCUCCAUUUGAACAGCCUUAA